rnacentral:tRNA from 2 species
GGAAGCGUCGCAUAGUGGUCCAGUGCACCACGUUGGAAACGUGGCAUACCGCAAGGUAUCGAGAGUUCGAAUCUCUCCGCUUCCGCAA